UACGGGGGGGGCAAGCGUUGUUCGGAAUUACUGGGCGUAAAGGGCUCGUAGGCGGCCAACUAAGUCAGACGUGAAAUCCCUCGGCUUAACCGGGGAACUGCGUCGGAUACUGGAUGGCUUGAGAUUGGGAGAGGGAUGCGGAAUUCCAGGUGUAGCGGUGAAAUGCGUAGAUAUCUGGAGGAACACCGGUGGCGAAGGCGGCAUCCUGGACCAACACUGACGCUGAGGAGCGAAAGCCAGGGGAGCAAACGGG
rnacentral:rRNA from 1 species